rnacentral:rRNA from 1 species
CAAAGGCUUGGUCCUGACUUUACCAUCAGCUUUAAACCAAUUUACACAUGCAAGUCUCCGCAAACCCGUGAGAAUGCCCUCAAUCCCCUGCCCGGGGACGAGGAGCAGGCAUCAGGCACAAAUUUUAGCCCAAGACGCCUUGCCAUGCCACACCCCCAAGGGAACUCAGCAGUGAUAAAUAUUAAGCCAUAAGUGAAAGCUUGACUUAGUUAGAGAUAAUAAGGGCCGGUAAAACUCGUGCCAGCCACCGCGGUUAUACGAGAGGCCCUAGUUGAUGGACACGGCGUAAAGGGUGGUUAAGGUCCAAAAUUAAUAAAGCCAAAAGACCUCUUGGCUGUCAUACGCCCCUGAGUGUCUGAAGCCCACACACGAAAGUAGCUUUAAUAUUAGUCUACCUGACCCCACGAAAGCUGAGAAACAAACUGGGAUUAGAUACCCCACUAUGCUCAGCCAUAAACUUAGACGUUUCUUCACAAUAAACGUCCGCCAGGGUACUACGAGCAUUAGCUUAAAACCCAAAGGACUUGGCGGUGCCUUAGACC